rfam:Myotis lucifugus cont2.5092, whole genome shotgun sequence.
CUGACUGCUCUGAACUCCAGUUCCGGGUGAGUCUCUGGGGACCCAGACUCAUACGAGGAGAAACUGGACUGUCUGGCAUCGGGCAGA